CAAAAAAAGACAAAGAGUCAUUCAGUCAAGCGCUGGCUUGUUUUGAUAUUUUUUGUGUGCAAGUGUAACGGGAGGGUGCGCUUGUUCUCACUUCCGCAUUUGUUUGUGUUCGACGAAGCGGCAGUUUAAUGAUACAAAAUUUCAUUUGACUUUUACUUUCCUGAUGCCGGGAUGCACUAGGACCGAUCAGAUCCCAGUACGACGUGCUGGAAAACGUUGGGUAGAUUCUGAAGUUCCCCAAAGCCCCAGCUACGUCCUCAAUGAGAAGCAAGUACACAUGGAGUCUCUCACAACUGAAAUGAGAAGCUGUUUUAAAAAUGUACAGCUCAACCAGGAGUACGCAAAUCCAGCAACUGGAACAAAAAUGAGAGCAGCAGAGCCACUCACUGGUAAUUAGCGUCGCUUCCUGUGGAUUCACACGUUUUUCAAUUCAAGCCCCUAUUUAGUCCCAACACAUUUCUUUCUGUGCUGCUUGCAUUUUGUAAAUGUAAACAAACAAUUUCGAAACCACAUACCCAUACCAGGAUGGAUGAGAUUACUUUCUGUUGCAAACUGCUGUUAAGUAUUAUGAUAAUAAAUGGUCAGAAAAUUGCUCAUUUCUCAUGCAUUUGCAUUCAUUUACAAAUAAAUCUCUGAAGACUUUGCAAUACACCCUGUUUCCGUUUACUGUAUCUCUGAUCCAUGUUUGGCUAGUUGACUCUUAUGACAUUUGGACCCCAAAUCAAACCAAAAUGCCUUUAAGUGCUGGAAUAUAUUUAUUGGAAUCAAAUAAUCAGAUAUACCCAUGAUAUACCCUAUGAAUAGAAUAUUCACCAAAAAACAGCAAUUAAAAUCUUAAGUUGUCAAAAGGAGUAUCAAUCAUCCACCUGAACUGACUCACGGCUAAUAGGAUCUCAGUAAAUUGCACUAAAACUGCAAAAGUACAAAAUGACGAAAUUAACGUGUUCCUUCAUUUCCCCCAAUC